AUCGGGUCUCAGAGAAAUAAAAAUAAAAAUAAUUAGAAACAAGGAGGAAGUAGAGCUGCCUAGCGGGACCGAUGCGGAUAUAUUAGAAAAGCUG